GUAGGCUUUAUGCCCCUGAGAUGCCCUGGGGCGGCUGGACUGGGACUGCACCCACCCUGAUAGGCUUCUGAUCACGUUGCACCCUGCAGCACUCUGGCCCAGCUUCUUCCACCCAAGCCCCGCCAUCCCCUACCAAACCCUGCCUUUCCUCCGGGGUGGGGCCAGAUGCCUGGCAGCUGGGGGUAGUUCUGACAGGCCUCCAGGGUGGGGGCCUGCAGCUCACCCACCCUGCUUCUUUGGCCGUCUGCAGACUCCCUAGGAUGUGGGAUCCCCCCUUGAGCUCAGGCACAGCCUCAAACUCCCUUCUCCUGGAAGGCCACCCAGAACCUCACCCUCACCUCUGAGCCUCAAAUGCUUGGUGCCUCUGCAGGGCCUGCCUUGGAGCCAGGUGCCCCUCGCUGCCAGAUGGCCCCUGUGGUUCAGCCCCUCAGCCUUGUCUGCCUGGGGUCUCGCACCUGCAGCCUGCCAUGGGAGCCCUCAGGGACCAGCCCUAUUCCAGUGGCUGGGACAAGUUUUCCUUCCGAGCCUCAGACCUGGGCACCCAUCAAUGUGGGCAGCCCCUGUGUCUCCUGCCUGGUCCUGGACUGCAGCCACCAGGAAGGAUGGGUCUGUAGCACCAGGCUGUCCUGGGACCCUGAUCCGUUGCAGAGGGGGUGGGCUGGAUGUAUGCUGAAUGAAUGAAUGAAUGAAUGAAGUGGCUCACCUAUUCUUGUUCCGUCAUGCACUUAUCUGCCAAGAAAGAAGCCGGGGGCUGUCGUCAGAACCCCAGGCUUAGGCCAAUUUUCCCAUGGGACUUCCUGUCCCUCCCUGAAUGCAGAGCUGGUCUUGAAUAAACCCCCAAACCGCACAGACCCCCAUCACCUCCCACCUCUCCCAUGGCCCCCUGAAACAGAGAGGGCCUUUCUCCACCUCUGCUGAGAGCAGGCUGUCCACCUGUGUCCCCCAUGGGCACCCCAUCCUACACCCUCCACCAGGCUGGAGCCCCAUAUCCUGGGAGUUGCUGGGGCCUGGUAUGGAGUGGGUGCCUGGCCUCCACAUCCCCCACGGAGGCGGCUCCUCAUGAAGGGCUGCAGGCCCAGGCCUCCAGCAAGUCAGCAGGCGCAGGGUGGGGCCACCUCCUCCCCUCUGCCUCCUGCAGUCAGAGACCGGCUGCCUGCCUGCCUCUAAUCUGACCUUAAUCCUCUCCCCAUCAGAUUAGGGCCUCACCGGUCUUGGGCAGGAAGACAAUGGUAUCCUCUGUGAAGUCCUGGGCCUUGCAGAAGGCAGUGAAUUUCUCCUUGAACUCAGCCCUGGGGGUCUGGGUUCGGCCUGGGACAGGGAAGAGACAGCUGGCGUCAGCGAGGGGGACAGUGUGCGCUCUCCCUGAGUCUGGGGGCGCCCCUGUGGUCAGGCUGCAUCCGGCCCCACCCUCGGGGCAGCCCCCUGGGCACGUACUGUAGAGCGUGGCCAUUCGGAAGUCCUCGCCGGGGCCCUUGCUGCCCUGGCUGUAGAGCAGGGCGUACUGGUCGUAGUCCGUCUCCACCACUGACACCGAGUAGGUGCUGCCCCAGUCUGGGAACCCAAGAGAUGGCCCUGUUGGGGACUCAGCUCUGCUUCAGGGAGGGGGUGUGCCGGUGGGCUGUGGGCACUCAGGCCUCCGCCGGCCUGGGAUUCUCCCCAAGCCCGCUGCUCUCCAGCCCACACCCCGCUCCUGCCUACACAGCCUGUGAACUCUCCCAAACCAGACGUCUGGGGGAGCCAGGUUCAGAAAACCGGAUUCCUGGUGCAGCCCCAGAACUCGCUGCCAGAACCGGGAAGUGAAGAGGUCUCCCGGCAGGAGCCAUUCCCCAGGAGGGGUGGGUGACCUCAGGGUCAGGGGCUAGGCCCGAGGGUGUUCCCAGACCUCUGCGUCCCAGAAGCCCACCUGCCCGCUGUCACACCUGAGG